AUAACCUAUCCUCCUUAGUUUAGCUUGUUGAUUUAUUUGUAGAGUAAAACAUUUGUGCCCAUAAAAAUUUUUUUACAUUUCAUUUAUUUCAUGUAAUUUCUGAAGGCUUCAAUUUAUUUUAUGUUGUCUAUGAAUAUAAUUUAAUCCUUAGUAUUGAACAUGAUAAUUGAAAUGGAAUACUAGAUUCAAAUAUCGCAACAGAUAAUACAUCUACUGCAACAG
rnacentral:lncRNA from 1 species